UCAAAACCUUAAUUAAAUUUUAUCUCUCAUCUCUCUCAUUUGAGAGAACUAGCCACCCCCACGAGCUCCUCUACCGCCCGCCGGAUCUGACGAUGGCCGGCAGCCACGAACUUUUCUCCCCCUCAUCUCUCUCUUUCCUACGUAGGGUGGACACUAACGCCGUCAGAUUUCACUACUGGACGGCAAUUGAUACGCCACCAUUGAUGACCCUCAUUGCCUUUGUCUUGUACCUUUAUCUCAUCUCCUUUUUCAUUUUUUUUCUUUUCUUUCUCUUUUGCAAACGAUACAGAUCUAAGAUUAUUUCUUAUAUUCUUGUGCAAGUGUUUUGGCCGGAGAAGUGGUCGGAAAAGGUCAGAUCUUGACGAAAAACUCCACCUCUGUUUGGCCAUGUCAUUUCUCGGUGACUCUGGCAAUGAGCUAACGCUGUGUUACCCGGUCGUUCGCCUCUACUGCCCACUGCUACCGUUGAAUUUUAGCCAAAAAAAUUCAUCCAGCGAAACAAAUGUUGCUCUGGUGAUUCCUUAGUGUCGUAGAAGCUUCCCAGGCUAACACUUUUGUGGUUUCUUCGUUACAAUUUCGCUGCUUCGUUCUUGAUGUCGUUGUCUUUGGUUCUAUGCUGUUCCAUUGAUAUUGCAAUAGUGACUCAAAAAUGCUCAAUUACUAUUUGUAUUAGUUGAGGCAGAACUUCGCCGUUGUUGUUUGUUGCUGGACUGCAUUUGAGAUUCAUGGCUUGAAAGCCGUCUCACUGUGUUGCUUUUGGUGGUUUCCAGCCACUGCGUUGAUGGAAAAUCUUGUUCAAAUGAUUUCCAUUCAACUGACUGUGUUUGUGCCAUUACUUUGACCAAAAUAAUAUUUAGCUGACCUACUGUUUUGACUAACGAUUAGCUUUAAUACUUGUGGCUAAGCUUCUUCAUUUGUCAAAAUGUGUAUAUUUUGAGGCCUUGCGACAUUAAUUUAUUGAUACUGAACAGAUACUACAUCAGGCCUAUGAAAAUAAUGAAUGAAUUAUGGAGGCCACGCCCCUUCGAUCCCGAAAAUAAAAGAGGCGAUGAUAAUACUCAUCGAGAAAGGAAAAGAGGAGAAACACGACGAACUCAUACUUUGGACGGUGACAAGGUUGGCCACUGUAGUUGCAACCAAGUCGAUUCCCGUUCUCAUAUCUAGACUGAAUCAAAUAUAUAAUCCGAGCCUCCCCAAAAUAUUGUAAACUAUUUUCAAGUGCAAAAUUGGCCAAAUAAUCUGCCAGUU
rnacentral:lncRNA from 1 species